UACGUAGGGGGCAAGCGUUGUCCGGAUUUAUUGGGCGUAAAGAGCGUGUAGGCGGCCUGACAAGUCUGCUGUGAAAACUCGAGGCUCAACCUCGAGAUGUCGGCGGAAACUGUCUGGCUAGAGUCCGGAAGAGGAGAGUGGAAUUCCUGGUGUAGCGGUGAAAUGCGCAGAUAUCAGGAAGAACACCAAUGGCGAAGGCAGCUCGCUGGGACGGUACUGACGCUGAGACGCGAAAGCGUGGGGAGCAAACAGG
rnacentral:rRNA from 1 species